rnacentral:rRNA from 1 species
UAAGAAUUUAAAAGUCGAACAGACUUAUUUAUAAGAAUACUGCUUCUUAUAAUAUUCUUAAUUCAACAUCGAGGUCGCAAAAUAUAAUAUAGAUAUGAACUCCCCAUUAAAAUUACGCUGUUAUCCCUAAGGUAACUUAAUCUUAUUUCCCACAUAUAUUUGAGGAUCUAUAAUUACAUUAACAAAUGAUAUAAAAAACUAAAGUUUAAAUUUAGACACCACCCCAGCAAAAAAUAAAUUUAUACAAUAAAAUAUAGGAACAAUUAAAUUAAAUAAUAUAAAUCUAUGUAAAGUUCUAUAGGGUCUUAUCGUCCCAAUAAACCAAUAAAGCAUUUUAACCUUAAAUUUAAAUUCUAAUACUCUAAGAAAUAAAAUAUAUUUCUCAUACAUCCAUUCAUACAAGCCCCCAAUUAAGAAACUAAUUACUAUGCUACCUUUGCACAGUCAAAAUACUGCAGCCAUUUAAUUAUAAAUAAAAUCAUAGGGCAGAAGAUACUUUUCAUAUAAUCA